rnacentral:lncRNA from 1 species
AACCGGUAGAGGGAGCAGUAGCGCAACACAAAGGACGUCAUCUGCCGGAAGUUACCAGAGAAGAAGGAGAAGGGUAAUGUCUUUGCCGCGCCGCUGGGGACAGUUCAAAUGAAACGAGGAGAAAAUGCACGAUUUCCGUGCUGCCGUCUGAUGCUCCAAUGAAAGAAGUACCAGAAACCAAAGAGAAGGAAAUAACAUUUCACAGGUUCCCAAAAGAUAAGGUGAAAAGAGAGACGUGGGCAUUAACACAGAGGAGAAAUGACUUUGAGCCAAAUGACCGCUCGGUUGUUUGAGGCUUCAACAAAACUGGACAGAAGACUCGUUUAAAGGAAGAAGCCAUCUCGUCAUUUUCUUACAACCUUUACAAAAUUACAAAAAAUUUAAGGGUGGCUUCUUCCACAAACGACUGCUUCACCAAGACCAUAAGAGGAAUCAAGAAGUGGAAGGAGGGGACUGGCAGGAUGAAAGUGAUUAGAUCAAGUCAUGCAGAUGAUGUUCCCUGUGGAGAGGAUGCACCUGAAAGGGACCUAGGCUCCAAAUCAAGAAGAGUAGAGACAAGUUUGCAGCAUGUCGAUCAUGAUUACAACCAAAGACCCCUGCCAUUGGAGGAGCAACUUCAAGAGGCCCAGAAGACCAUUGCAUGCCAAGAAGAGCUUGUGAAACUAAGA